CUUUUCUCUCUCCUUAUCUUUCCAACCCCACUGAUAUCUCAGAAUAAAUAGGGAGAACCAAGCCACAUUAUACUCACUCAGCAAUCAUCUCUUGCAUACUUUCAUAUAUACAUUAUCGUGCUUGUUAAGCAAAACAUGGCAUCCUCAAAGGCUUUUCUUCUUCUUGGUCUUGCCUUUGCUGCUCUCCUCAUCUCCUCUGAGGUCUCAGCUACUCCAACUCGUGAGUUUCUCACUUUCUUAACUAAAUCAUAUAUAUUAAAUAGUAAUUGUAUCUUUCUUUCCAGUAACGAUUUGUGAGUUUAGGCUCAUUUUAAUUAAGGUGCACUGGUCGUGAAAAUGAUUAUGCUUCGAAUUUGUACUAGAUAUAUAUAGCAUUAGUGCUCUAAAAUAUAUUAAUUCUGAGAAUAUCUGGAUGUAAUUUACUCUUUCUGCAGGAAGGGCUAGUGGUUGUUGUACUUGCAUGGCUUAAUCUAUGAUGGUUAAGUGAUGUAUAUUUUAGAGACUAAUGCUAUUUGUAACACAUUUACUGACCAGAUUACUGAUCACCUUUCUAAUAUAGAUGGGCCCCACAUAUACUGGUGGGGCCACCUCUAUUAGAGAGAUGGUCAGUAAAUAUGGUCCAAAGUAGCAGCACUCUAUUUUUUUCUACAUAUUUUCUUGGGUGCUGAUUUUUCCACUCCUUUUUUGGUUUUUUAAUGCUUUUUACUUUAACAUAUAAGGAAGUGUAAGUUGACAAAAGAUGAGUGGGAACAUACAAUUUCCAACAAAAAGAAUGUAAGUGGAUAAAAGAAGAGUGAUAAAAUCAUCUCUCUCUCUCUCUCUCUCUCUCUCUUUUUCUAUAUAUAUAUAAAGUUUUUGUUUGUUCUAUCAGAGGAGAGUGCAGUCAACUAUGAUGACAAUUUUCUUGAUGAUCACGAGCAUGGGCAUGGACAUGACCAUAGGCACGUCCAUGGGCAUGGGCAUGACCACAGGCAUGGACGACAUGGCCAUGGCCACCAUGGCAAAGGGGGACCUGGUGCUGCUGAGACUGAAACCGAGAAUUAGAUAACUUGUUAGUUUCUGUACUUAUGUUGCAGGUGUAUCGUAAGGGUAGUAGUAUGCAAUAAAGUUGUAAUGGUUUGAGUAAUAUCUAUAAACUCUCGAUCAUAGGUUCGCCUUAAGCUUGUUCUUGUGUUCUCUGUCAUGUACGAAUUGGAUCACCUUGUUAUGUACUAAAAUGUGAUUUAACUUGUUGAAUACAUAUUAUGUCAAAAAUUUCUAGUAUGGCUUGGCUACUUAAAAUUGAGGAGGACAUCCUCACAACAAAUGAGAUUUUGAAACUUGUUAAACUUCAAAAGAAAAAAAGGUUAAGGCAAUUCCAAAGAAAAAAAUUUAAAGAAAUUUGCCAAGUUUCAAAAGUCUAUUUGUUUUGAAGACGAACUCCUCCUCAGUUUUAAGGAGUGUAAGUUUUUUCCUAAUAUUAAUGGAGUUUCAUAUAUGACUCAUUUGUUUUGUG
rnacentral:lncRNA from 1 species